ensembl:snRNA U6 U6 spliceosomal RNA
GUGCUCACCCCAGCAGCACAUAUGCUAAAAGCGGAACAAUGUAGAGAAAAUUAGCAUGGCCCCUGCACAAGGAUGACACACAAAUUCAUGAAGUGUUCCAUCUUUUU